rnacentral:lncRNA from 1 species
AUGUGAAUAUUUUGCUGAUUCUUUUUUUUUUAUUAUUAUUAAUUCUGCAUGUGAAUUUUAUCAAUUCUUUUCAAUUCCCUUUGGAAAAGUGCAUGUGGUUAAAAAAAUAUGCUUAUUUUUUACAGAUUGUUCUUAUGUUGGGCUGUUUCACCACAAUUCAAGGUUAGGAGGAUGGUUGAGUGCUCCCUAACAUGUUUAACACUAUCAUGAAUAUCCAAUUUUUUUAUGUGCCUGUCUCAAUUCAGGAGCAUGUAAUUUUGUGGUUUGGUUUAGUUCAUGUCUGUUAUAUUUUGUUGUUGUAAAUAGUAUUGUUUUAAAUAAGGCUGUUUUUUUUUAAGUUUGUUUAAAUUUAUAUUUUUACAGUCAUGGCCUUGUAUAGCUAACUAUAAUGUAUGGGUAUUUAUCAUUGUUCAAGGAUGCAGGGUGACCUAAAAUUAAUUAUAUCCAAAUCAUUUGAACUCUGG